rnacentral:rRNA from 1 species
AGUGAACGCUGGCGGUAGGCCUAACACAUGCAAGUCGAACGGCAGCACAGUAAGAGCUUGCUCUUACGGGUGGCGAGUGGCGGACGGGUGAGGAAUACAUCGGAAUCUACUUUUUCGUGGGGGAUAACGUAGGGAAACUUACGCUAAUACCGCAUACGACCUACGGGUGAAAGCAGGGGAUCUUCGGACCUUGCGCGAUUGAAUGAGCCGAUGUCGGAUUAGCUAGUUGGCGGGGUAAAGGCCCACCAAGGCGACGAUCCGUAGCUGGUCUGAGAGGAUGAUCAGCCACACUGGAACUGAGACACGGCCCAGACUCCUACGGGAGGCAGCAGUGGGGAAUAUUGGACAAUGGGCGCAAGCCUGAUCCAGCCAUACCGCGUGGGUGAAGAAGGCCUUCGGGUUGUAAAGCCCUUUUGUUGGGAAAGAAAAGCAGCAGGUUAAUACCCCGCUGUUCUGACGGUACUCAAAGAAUAAGCACCGGCUAACUUCGUG